AUGCUCACUUUGGCAGCACAUAUACUAAAAUUGGAAUGAUACAGAGAAGAUUAGCAUGGCCCCUGCGCAAGAAUGACACGUAAGGGCUGAAGAGAUAGCAUGAAGGU